rnacentral:ncRNA from 1 species
CCCUGAAAAGCUCUAAAGGCACAAAGGUUUGGUCCUGACCUUGUUAUCAGCUUUUUCUAAACUUACACAUGCAAGUCUCAGCACACCCGUGAGGACGCCCUUUUAUCUAUACCAGCACAAGGAGCCGGUAUCAGGCACUAAAACUUGCCCAUUACACCUAGUCUCACCACACCUCCAAAGGCUACAGCAGUGAUAAACAUUGUUCAUAAGCGACAGCUUGACUCAGUUACAGAAAAAAGAGCUGGCUAACUCGGUGCCAGCCGCCGCGGCUAAACCGCACGAGCUCAAGUUGAUAAACAUCGGCGUUAAGCGUGAUUAAAGAUUAACUAAAAUUAGAAUAAAACUAACACUUAGCUGUGACAAGCUUGUCUCUUAGGAAAAACAAAAACGAAAGUUAUUCUAAUAUACUUGAACCCACGACAGUUGAGAAACAAACUGGGAUUAGAUACCCCACUAUGCCCAACCGUAAAAUAUACACUUACAUCACCAACGCCAGGGAAUUACGAGCCUAGCUUAAAACCCAAAGGACUUGACGGUGUCCCACCCAGCUAGAGGAGCCUGUUCUAUAAUCGAUAACCCCCGAUUUACCUAACCCUAUUUUGCCAUUCAGCCUGUAUACCUCCGUCGUAAGCUUACCAUAUAAAUGCCCACAGUAAGUCUAAUGAUCUUAACAUCAAUACGUCAGGUCAAGGUGCAGCUUAUAGUAGGGAAAGAAAUGGGCUACAAUUUCUAAAUUAGAACAUACGAAAUGCUUCAUGAAACACAGCCACGAAGGCGGAUUUAGUAGUAAAAGGGGAAUAAUGCGCCCCUUUUAACAAGGCCCUGGGACGUGUACACACCGCCCGUCACCCUCUUCAACAACCCACAAUAUGUUUAUAACAACCCACCUUAUUUUAGAAGAGGCAAGUCGUAACAUGGUAAGUGUACCGGAAGGUGCACUUGGACAAACAAAAUAUAGCUUAACCUAAAGCCCCUCGCUUACACCGAGAAAAUAUCUGUGAAAACCAGAUUAUUUUGAGCCCAAAAUUUAGCCUAAUUAAAAUCUUAUGUGCCCACAACUAACCCCCCCCCAAAAAUUAAAACAUUUUACUUUUCUAGUAGAGGCGAUCAAAAAACUUAUUAGAGCUAUACAACUAGUACCGCAAGGGAAAAAUGAAAUAGUUUUGAAAUAGCCCUAAAGCAAAACACAGCAGAGAUUACCCCUCCUACCUUUUGCAUCAUGGUUUAGCUAGUCCCUAACAAGCAAAGCGAAACAUCAGUUUGUCCCCCCGAAACUAGACGAGCUACUUUAAAACAGUUUUAUAGAACCAACCCGUCUCUGUUGCAAAAGAGUGGGAUGAUUUUAAAGUAGAGGUGAAAAGCCUACCGAGCCUAGAGAUAGCUGGUUACUUAAGAAAGGAAUUUUAGUUCAAUCCCAAGUCUUCCCAUUUAAAAGAUAAACAACCAAGACUUGAGAAUUAAUUAAAUAAGGCACAGCUUAUUUAAUAAAGGAUACAGCCUAUAAAAAAGGGUAAAAAUUAUUAACACAGAUCAAGUGGGCCUAAAAGCAGCCACCUUUAAAAAAGCGUUAAAGCUUCAUCUUCUCAACCUGAUAAAUACCUCACCUCUCUUUAAACCCUUUAAUACUAUUAAGUAAUUCUAUAAGUAUAUAGAAGCUUUUAUGCUAAAACUAGUAACAAGAAAUUGUUUUUCUCCAAAAUUUAAGUAUAAGCCAAAAUGGACUCACCGUUGGCAAUUAACGUUAAUAAAAUCACUAUAACAACACACCUAGAAAACAUUAUACUUUCUCCACGUUAACCUUACACAAGCAAAUUUCUGGAAAGAUUAAAAGAAAAAGAAGGAACUCGGCAAAUUUUAACCCCGCCUGUUUACCAAAAACAUCGCCUCUUGAUAAAAUAUAAGAGGUCCAGCCUGCCCAGUGAUAUUCUUAAACGGCCGCGGUACCCUGACCGUGCAAAGGUAGCAUAAUCAUUUGUUCUUUAAAUAAGGACUCGUAUCAACGGCAUUACGAGGGUUAUACUGUCUCCUUUUUCCAAUCAGUGAAACUGACCUCCCCGUGAAGAGGCGGGGAUAUACAAACAAGACGAGAAGACCCCAUGGAGCUUUAAACCCAAUAACAACUCUCUUUAAUAAAAACUUUAAAAAUAUAGACGUACUGUUUAUUGGUUUUGGGUUGGGGUGACCACGGAGUAAAAAUUAACCUCCCUGACGAAUAGAUCUCAUCUUUAUCCAAGAGCAACUGCUCGAAGAAUCAAAAAUUUGACGCUACAUGAUCCGGCAACCGAUCAACGAACCAAGUUACCCUGGGGAUAACAGCGCAAUCCAUUUCAAGAGCUCCUAUCGACAAAUGGGUUUACGACCUCGAUGUUGGAUCAGGGUAUCCCAGUGGUGCAGCCGCUACUAAAGGUUUGUUUGUUCAACAAUU